AUUGAACGCUGGCGGAAUGCUUUACACAUGCAAGUCGAGCGGCAGCGCGGCCUUCGGGCUGGCGGCGUGCGGCGAACGGGUGAGUAAUGCAUCGGAACAUGCCCAGUCGUGGGGGAUAACACUUCGAAAGAAGUGCUAAUACCGCAUACGUCCUGAGUGGGAAAGCGGGGGAUCGCAAGACCUCGCGCGAUUUGAGUGGCCGAUGUCAGAUUAGCUAGUUGGUGUGGUAAAGGCCUACCAAGGCGACGAUCUGUAGCUGGUCUGAGAGGAUGAUCAGCCACACUGGGACUGAGACACGGCCCAGACUCCUACGGGAGGCAGCAGUGGGGAAUUUUGGACAAUGGGGGCAACCCUGAUCCAGCCAUUCCGCGUGAGUGAAGAAGGCCUUCGGGUUGUAAAGCUCUUUCGGCAGGAACGAAACGGUGGGCUCUAACAUAGUCCGCUAAUGACGGUACCUGAAGAAGGAGCACCGGCUAACUACGUG
rnacentral:rRNA from 1 species